rnacentral:misc_RNA from 1 species
GAAUUGCGAUAUGUAAUGUGAAUUGCAGAUCCCAGUGAAUCAUCGAAUCUUUGAACGCACAUUGCACCCUCUAGUAUUCUAGAGGGUAUGCCUGUUUGAGAGUCAUUAAUAAAUCAAACACGGGAAAGCUUUUUCUAGUUUUUCCGCAGUUUGGAUUUUGAAGGAUUUGCUGAUAGUUAAUGUCAGCUCCUUUUAAAUGCAUGAGUAGGGAUAUUCAAAACCAUACAGAAUCAGCUUCGGUUUGAUAAGUCUCUGAUCUUUCUAUGCCGUCGCUGGUGAAGGGUUUUUGUUCUUGCUUCAAACUGUCCUUAUUAUUGAGGACUGUCUUUUUACAAGACAUCUAUUAAGCCUUGACCUCAAAUCAGGUAGGACUACCCGCUGAACUUAA